GGUAGCUGCGGCGAGUGGCCUCUCCGUGCGGCACAGAGGCAAGAAGCAGCCAUCCAUCCAGAAGCAGCCUCCGUGUUCCGUUUGUCCGGAUGUCAUCGUAGGUGGCCGGCAUCUCUGGCUUUGGGCUUCUCCCCUGGGGGCGGGUGGGUGCUCCACCCUCCCGCCCACUCUCUGAGGACAUGAGGAACAUGGUAUCCAGCACCACGGACAGCUCCCAGCGGUUCCUUGAAUGCUUGGUUUAUGUGCCUGGCUGGAGGAGACACCCAUGGCCUUGCAGAGGGAGCGUUCUGGUGGGAAAGCAGACACAACCCACCCUAGGCCCGUGGUUUCCCUGCAAGAAGCCCAGUGGCUUUCUGGAGGACACUUUUCCUGGAGGAAGUGACUCAAGAGCAGCAUAAGCCAGGCUCUAUGGAAUGUUGGGUGAGCUGCUUGAGGAACUC
rnacentral:lncRNA from 1 species